rnacentral:rRNA from 1 species
UGCAGUCGAACGCUUUGUGGUUCAACUGAUUUGAAGAGCUUGCUCAGAUAUGACGAUGGACAUUGCAAAGAGUGGCGAACGGGUGAGUAACACGUGGGAAACCUACCUCUUAGCAGGGGAUAACAUUUGGAAACAGAUGCUAAUACCGUAUAACAAUAGCAACCGCAUGGUUGCUACUUAAAAGAUGGUUCUGCUAUCACUAAGAGAUGGUCCCGCGGUGCAUUAGUUAGUUGGUGAGGUAAUGGCUCACCAAGACGAUGAUGCAUAGCCGAGUUGAGAGACUGAUCGGCCACAAUGGGACUGAGACACGGCCCAUACUCCUACGGGAGGCAGCAGUAGGGAAUCUUCCACAAUGGGCGAAAGCCUGAUGGAGCAACGCCGCGUGUGUGAUGAAGGGUUUCGGCUCGUAAAACACUGUUGUAAGAGAAGAAUGACAUUGAGAGUAACUGUUCAAUGUGUGACGGUAUCUUACCAGAAAGGAACGGCUAAAUACGUGCCAGCAGCCGCGGUAAUACGUAUGUUCCAAGCGUUAUCCGGAUUUAUUGGGCGUAAAGCGAGCGCAGACGGUUAUUUAAGUCUGAAGUGAAAGCCCUCAGCUCAACUGAGGAAUUGCUUUGGAAACUGGAUGACUUGAGUGCAGUAGAGGAAAGUGGAACUCCAUGUGUAGCGGUGAAAUGCGUAGAUAUAUGGAAGAACACCAGUGGCGAAGCGGCUUUCUGGACUGUAACUGACGUUGAGGCUCGAAAGUGUGGGUAGCAACAGGAUUAGAUACCC